CAGUACGCGGGAAUACAGAGGGUGCGAGCGUUAAUCGGAUUUACUGGGCGUAAAGCGUGCGUAGGCGGCUUCUUAAGUCGGAUGUGAAAUCCCUGAGCUUAACUUAGGAAUUGCAUUCGAUACUGGGAAGCUAGAGUAUGGGAGAGGAUGGUAGAAUUCCAGGUGUAGCGGUGAAAUGCGUAGAGAUCUGGAGGAAUACCGAUGGCGAAGGCAGCCAUCUGGCCUAAUACUGACGCUGAGGUACGAAAGCAUGGGGAGCAAACAGGAUUAGAUACCCCGGUAGUCCCUGUCUCUUAUACAC
rnacentral:rRNA from 1 species